rnacentral:rRNA from 1 species
ACGGAAGGCAGCAGUAGGGAAUAUUGCACAAUGGGGGAAACCCUGAUGCAGCGACGCCGCGUGAGCGAUGAAGUAUUUCGGUAUGUAAAGCUCUAUCAGCAGGGAAGAUAAUGACGGUACCUGACUAAGAAGCCCCGGCUAACUACGUGCCAGCAGCCGCGGUAAUACGUAGGGGGCAAGCGUUAUCCGGAUUUACUGGGUGUAAAGGGGGUGUAGGUGGUUUGGCAAGCCAGAUGUGAAAACCCGGGGCUCAACCCCGCGGACUGCAUUUGGAACUGUUAAACUUGAGUGCAGGAGAGGAAAGUGGAAUUCCUAGUGUAGCGGUGAAAUGCGUAGAUAUUAGGAGGAACACCAGUGGCGAAGGCGGCUUUCUGGACUGUAACUGACACUGAGGCUCGAAAGCGUGGGGAGCAAACAGGAUUAGAUACCCUGGUA